rnacentral:rRNA from 1 species
GACGAACGCUGGCGGCGUGCUUAACACAUGCAAGUCGAACGGUGAAGCGCCUUCCUUUUUGGUGGGUGUGGAUGAGUGGCGAACGGGUGAGUAACACGUGAGUAACCUGCCCCCUUCUUCUGGAUAACCGCAUGAAAGUGUGGCUAAUACGGGAUAUUCUGGGUCUGUCGCAUGAUGGGUCUGGGAAAGAUAUUGUUUCGGUGGGGGAUGGGCUCGCGGCCUAUCAGCUUGUUGGUGGGGUGAUGGCCUACCAAGGCGGUGACGGGUAGCCGGCCUGAGAGGGUGGACGGUCACACUGGAACUGAGACACGGCCCAGACUCCUACGGGAGGCAGCAGUGGGGAAUAUUGCACAGUGGGCGCAAGCCUGAUGCAGCGACGCCGCGUGAGGGAUGGAGGCCUUCGGGUUGUGAACCUCUUUCGCCAGUGAAGCAGGCCUGCCUCGUUUGUGGGUGGGUUGACGGUAGCUGGAUAAGAAGCGCCGGCUAACUACGUG